rnacentral:rRNA from 1 species
CCUACGGGGGGCAGCAGUGGGGAAUAUUGGACAAUGGGGGGAACCCUGAUCCAGCGAUGCCGCGUGUGUGAAGAAGGCCCUCGGGUUGUAAAGCACUUUCAGUGAGGAAGAACGCCUGGUGGUUAAUACCCAUCAGGAAAGACAUCACUCACAGAAGAAGCACCGGCUAACUCCGUGCCAGCAGCCGCGGUAAUACGGAGGGUGCGAGCGUUAAUCGGAAUUACUGGGCGUAAAGCGCGCGUAGGUGGCUUGAUAAGCCGGGUGUGAAAGCCCCGGGCUCAACCUGGGAACGGCAUCCGGAACUGUCAAGCUAGAGUGCAGGAGAGGAAGGUAGAAUUCCCGGUGUAGCGGUGAAAUGCGUAGAGAUCGGGAGGAAUACCAGUGGCGAAGGCGGCCUUCUGGACUGACACUGACACUGAGGUGCGAAAGCGUGGGUAGCAAACAGGAUUAGAUACCCCUGUAGUC